CGUCGCUAAUGAUUGUCAUGGCAACAGCCGCCUUUUUUCGGACGUGAAGUCGCGAGAGGAGACGGCUGCGGAACUCGCCGGCGAGGUCCAUUCCUCGACGAUAAAACGUACAGUGUUUGUUUGGACAACAAGAUGGAGACUUCGUCCUCAAUGGAGCAGCAGGUGCAGUUUAAAGCCAGCAUCACUGACGGUGCUGUAUCGAGAUACCCUUGGUGGCUCACGACAAUGACGCGCCCCAGUCCAUAAUAGGAGGCGGCCAAAAAUGUCCGUCCAUCGUCUGCCAUUGCCACAGGGAAGGCAAGCUGGCCAUGAACAAGAAUCUCAGAAGCAAGCGCAUUACCAGU